ACGCUGUAAUUAUUAGAAUAGAUUGUAGGAAGUCGCGUAUCAAGGCAAGAUGUCCAUCCUGAAAAAUUUCAUACUUGACAAUAUUGUUUAAACUCUGAUCUACGGAAAGCGUAAUUUAAUUUAAGACCUGUUUACUUACACGACAUAUAUCUAAUUAUAACGACACAGGAUAAAAUGUACAAGGUAUAGUUGGGGUAAGAUGCCUAUAGUGCAACUUGUCUCAUCUAGUAGAAGGAAACAAUAGCCAUAUUUUAGCGGCUGUCUUUCAGGGCAGUAAUGGUGCGUGAUUACAAACGAAAGACUAACAGAACUUGGUCCGAGGAAUCUCAUCAAAGUGCAACCACUCCGUUAAGAAAGUAGAGUUAAGUACAACUAGAACCAACAAACGAUAUAGGAUUUCUCGAAGAACGUUACAGAGACGCUUACAAAGCCUCAAUUUUAAAAUGAUUAUUGCUAUGGGACGACAGGCGCUCUUGAUCAAAGAUACCACUUUGGAGAAGUCGAGUUCAAACUUCAUAGACAUGUUCUUGGAGAAUCGCGGAUUCCCAUUAACUAUGACCGAUGAUCGAGACCAGUCCUAUCAUUAGGCGAAACAUUAGACUGAAGUACUCAUUUAACCGGGAGCGACACAAAGCAGGUUACGAUUAGUUAUACAGUAUAGCUUUCUGAGUAGAUAUUCUGAUAUUACCGUUAGAAAAAAGAAAAUCUGUCUGUUGUCAGAGCAAAAUGUAUGGAACAACAUGAAAGGGUAAUGUUUCCUGAAUGCAAAGACCUGUUUGUAUCAUUUUUUCAUUAUAAAUUUUUUUCAAUUUCCUUUGAG